UUAAUAAAUUUAGAACAAUUAAGUAUUAAUCAUUGGUCAAGAAUUAAAGAAUUUUUAAAUGAUUACUUUUAUUAUUGUACAAUUAGUGGAAACUCAUUUGAUCAGACUCUAGGAGCUAGAUUAUUUAAUAAAUUACCAGGAGCUUUAGGAAGAGAGAUAGAAGAAAAAUGGUCUAAAAGAGAAGGAGUAAUACAAAACCC
rnacentral:lncRNA from 1 species